GAUGAAGAGACUAAUCUUAUGCAAAAAAUUAAAAGUUAAGGGUUGAAAAUAUCUGACCAAUGGGUAGCAAUCCAAUAGACAAGAAUGUCAAUAGAAACCCAAAUUCCCUUGGACAAUUAGAAUCAAGCAACACACAAAUGCACAAUUAUAUCAAUCUUGAAGAGCAAGGCAAUAAAUAAAGAUAGCCACAUCCAAGCUUUAGCCACUCCAUGAUCUUCUUC
rnacentral:lncRNA from 1 species